CUCCUCUACCCCAAUCUUCUGCCCUCUCCUCUGCUUCCCCGGCCUCCCCCUUCUGACUCUCCUCUCCCCUCUUUGUAUCCCCCAUCUUGCCUCCCUGCUUCCCACAUCCGACCACCCGACCUCUCUCCUCAGACGUGGACGAAUGUCGCGAGCGAGGCCCAGCCCUGUGCGGGUCGCAGCGCUGUGAGAACUCUCCCGGCUCCUACCGCUGUGUCCGGGACUGCGAUCCUGGGUACCACGCGGGCCCCGAGGGCACCUGUGACGAUGUGGAUGAGUGCCAAGAAUAUGGUCCCGAGAUUUGUGGAGCCCAGCGUUGUGAGAACACCCCUGGCUCCUACCGCUGCACACCAGCCUGUGACCCUGGCUAUCAGCCCACGCCAGGGGGCGGAUGCCAGGGUGGGUGUCCAUCAGGCAUCGGAUGUGAACGAGUGUGAAACACUACAGGGUGUAUGUGGAGCUGCCCUGUGUGAAAAUGUCGAAGGCUCCUUCCUCUGUGUCUGCCCCAACAGCCCGGAGGAGUUUGACCCCAUGACUGGACGCUGUGUUCCCCCACGAACUUCUGCUGGCACG
rnacentral:sRNA from 1 species